GAUGAACGCUAGCUACAGGCUUAACACAUGCAAGUCGAGGGGCAGCAUGGUCUUAGCUUGCUAAGACUGAUGGCGACCGGCGCACGGGUGAGUAACACGUAUCCAACCUGCCGUCUACUCUUGGACAGCCUUCUGAAAGGAAGAUUAAUACAAGAUGGCAUCAUGAGUCCGCAUGUUCACAUGAUUAAAGGUAUUCCGGUAGACGAUGGGGAUGCGUUCCAUUAGAUAGUAGGCGGGGUAACGGCCCACCUAGUCUUCGAUGGAUAGGGGUUCUGAGAGGAAGGUCCCCCACAUUGGAACUGAGACACGGUCCAAACUCCUACGGGAGGCAGCAGUGAGGAAUAUUGGUCAAUGGGCGAGAGCCUGAACCAGCCAAGUAGCGUGAAGGAUGACUGCCCUAUGGGUUGUAAACUUCUUUUAUAAAGGAAUAAAGUCGGGUAUGUAUACCCGUUUGCAUGUACUUUAUGAAUAAGGAUCGGCUAACUCCGUGCCAGCAGCCGCGGUAAUACGGAGGAUCCGAGCGUUAUCCGGAUUUAUUGGGUUUAAAGGGAGCGUAGAUGGAUGUUUAAGUCAGUUGUGAAAGUUUGCGGCUCAACCGUAAAAUUGCAGUUGAUACUGGAUAUCUUGAGUGCAGUUGAGGCAGGCGGAAUUCGUGGUGUAGCGGUGAAAUGCUUAGAUAUCACGAAGAACUCCGAUUGCGAAGGCAGCCUGCUAAGCU
rnacentral:rRNA from 1 species